rnacentral:rRNA from 1 species
UACGUAGGGUGCGAGCGUUAAUCGGAAUUACUGGGCGUAAAGCGUGCGCAGGCGGCUUUGCAAGACAGAUGUGAAAUCCCCGGGCUCAACCUGGGAAUUGCGCUUGUGACUGCAAAGCUGGAGUGCGGCAGAGGGGGAUGGAAUUCCGCGUGUAGCAGUGAAAUGCGUAGAUAUGCGGAGGAACACCGAUGGCGAAGGCAAUCCCCUGGGCCUGCACUGACGCUCAUGCACGAAAGCGUGGGGAGCAAACAGG